rnacentral:rRNA from 1 species
UGGGGGGGCCUUACGGGAGGCAGCAGUAGGGAAUCUUCCGCAAUGGGCGAAAGCCUGACGGAGCAACGCCGCGUGAGUGAUGAAGGUCUUCGGAUCGUAAAACUCUGUUAUUAGGGAAGAACAAACGUGUAAGUAACUGUGCACGUCUUGACGGUACCUAAUCAGAAAGCCACGGCUAACUACGUGCCAGCAGCCGCGGUAAUACGUAGGUGGCAAGCGUUAUCCGGAAUUAUUGGGCGUAAAGCGCGCGUAGGCGGUUUUUUAAGUCUGAUGUGAAAGCCCACGGCUCAACCGUGGAGGGUCAUUGGAAACUGGAAAACUUGAGUGCAGAAGAGGAAAGUGGAAUUCCAUGUGUAGCGGUGAAAUGCGCAGAGAUAUGGAGGAACACCAGUGGCGAAGGCGACUUUCUGGUCUGUAACUGACGCUGAUGUGCGAAAGCGUGGGGAUCAAACAGGAUUAGAUACCCUGGUAGUCCACGCCGUAAACGAUGAGUGCUAAGUGUUAGGGGGUUUCCGCCCCUUAGUGCUGCAGCUAACGCAUAAGCACUCCGCCUGGAUCG